ACUGAACGCUCGCGGGAUGCUUUACACAUGCAAGUCGAACGGCAGCGCGGACUUCGGUCUGGCGGCGAGUGGCGAACGGGUGAGUAAUGUAUCGGAACGUGCCCAGUAGCGGGGGAUAACUACGCGAAAGCGUAGCUAAUACCGCAUACGCCCUACGGGGGAAAGCAGGGGAUCGUAAGACCUUGCACUAUUGGAGCGGCCGAUAUCGGAUUAGCUAGUUGGUGAGGUAACGGCUCACCAAGGCGACGAUCCGUAGCUGGUUUGAGAGGACGACCAGCCACACUGGGACUGAGACACGGCCCAGACUCCUACGGGAGGCAGCAGUGGGGAAUUUUGGACAAUGGGGGCAACCCUGAUCCAGCCAUCCCGCGUGUGCGAUGAAGGCCUUCGGGUUGUAAAGCACUUUUGGCAGGAAAGAAACGUCGCGGGCUAAUACUCCGUGGAACUGACGGUACCUGCAGAAUAAGCACCGGCUAACUACGUG
rnacentral:rRNA from 1 species